rnacentral:snRNA from 1 species
AGAGAAUGAUGUGAACCCGGGAGGCGGAGCUUGCAGUGAGCCGAGAAAGCCACUGAAUUCCAGCCUGGGCAACACAG